AUGGCCGCCGCCGCGACCGCCACCGCCACCGCCGUCCGCCUCCACGCGGCGGCCACGCGACGCGCCGCCCCGCGCCGGCCGGCGCGCCUCGCGGUGCGCGCGGACGCCGCGCGGGCGGCGACGGCGCUGACGCAGGACGACCUCAAGCGGCUCGCGGCGGUGCGCGCGGUGGAGCAGGUGCAGAGCGGCAUGGUCCUGGGGCUCGGGACGGGGUCCACGGCCGCCUUCGCCGUCGCCGAGAUCGGCGCGCUCCUCGCCAGCGGGAAGCUCUCCGGCAUCGUCGGCGUGCCCACCUCCAAGCGCACCUUCGAGCAGGCCGCUCGGGAUCCCGCUCUCCACGCUCGACGACCACCCCGUCAUCGACCUCGCCAUCGACGGCGCCGACGAGGUCCUCUCCUCCCUCUUCCCUCGCCAUUGACUUUCUCUCUGCACCGUACCAUUUUAGUUCUGACGACUCUUACUGAGGUCGACCCAGAUCUUAACCUUGUCAAAGGGCGGGGUGGAGCCCUUCUCCGAGAGAAAAUGGUCGAGGCCGCGUCAGGAAAGUUUGUCGUCGUCGUCGAUGAGACGAAACUCGUUACCGGCCUGGGAGGGAGCGGCCUCGCCAUGCCGGUGGAGGUUGUGCAGUUCUGCUGGAAGCACAACCAAGUAAGGCUGCAGGGUCUGUUCAACGAAGAAGGCUGCGAGGCGAAGCUGAGACUGAAUGAGGAUGGCAAGCCCUAUGUUACCGACAACUCGAACUACAUUGUCGAUUUAUACUUCAAGACGCCGAUCAGGGACGCGUUGGGCGCGGGCAAGGAGAUUGCGGCUUUGGAAGGAGUUGUUGAGCAUGGGCUGUUCUUGAACAUGGCAACUUCAGUGAUCAUUGCUGGAUCUGACGGCGUCAGUGUCAAAACAAAGUGA
rnacentral:rRNA from 1 species